rnacentral:tRNA from 1 species
GCCUGGGUGGCUCAGUCGGUUAAGCGUCCGACUUUGGCUCAGGUCAUGAUCUCACGGUUUGUGAGUUCGAGUCCCACGUCAGGCU